AUUGAACGCUGGCGGCAUGCCUAACACAUGCAAGUCGAACGAGUGGCGGACGGGUGAGUAAUCUCUGGGAAACUGCCUGAUGGCGGGGGAUAACUACUGGAAACGGUAGCUAAUACCGCAUACCAUCGGAUGUUCCCAGAUGGGAUUAGCUAGUGGGUGGGGUAAAGGCUCACCUAGGCAACGAUCCCUAGCUGGUCUGAGAGGAUGACCAGCAACACUGGAACGGAGACACGGCCCAGACUCCUACGGGAGGCAGCGGUGGGGAAUAUUGCACAAUGGGUGAAAGCCUGAUGCAGCCAUGCCGCGUGUAUGAAGAAGGCCUUCGGGUUGUAAAGUACUUUCAGCAGGGAGGCGUUACCUGAAGAAGAAGCACCGGCUAACUCCGUGCCAGCAGCCGCGGUAAUAC
rnacentral:rRNA from 1 species